AGGACGAACGCUGGCGGCGUGGAUUAGGCAUGCAAGUUGAGCGACGGAUAGGCUUCGGCCUAUUACGGAGCAGCGAACGGGUGAGUAACACGUGAACAAUCUGUCCCUUCAUUCCGGAUAAUUGGUCGAAAGGCCUUGUAAUACGGGCGAGGGUCCUCGGGAGGCAUCUUUUGAGGAAGGAAGGCGCAAGCCGUGCAGGGAGGAGUUCGCGGCCUAUCAGUUAGUUGGCGGGGUAAUGGCCUACCAAGACGACGACGGGUAGCUGGUCUGAGAGGAUGGUCAGCCACAUUGGAACUGAGACACUGUCCAGACUCCUACGGGAGCUGCAGU
rnacentral:rRNA from 1 species